rnacentral:rRNA from 1 species
AUUGAACGCUGGCGGCAUGCCUUACACAUGCAAGUCGAACGGUAACAGGUCUUUCGGGAUGCUGACGAGUGGCGAACGGGUGAGUAAUACAUCGGAACGUGCCUAGUAGUGGGGGAUAACUACUCGAAAGAGUGGCUAAUACCGCAUGAGAUCUAUGAAUGAAAGCAGGGGACCUUCGGGCCUUGUGCUACUAGAGCGGCCGAUGGCAGAUUAGGUAGUUGGUGGGAUAAAAGCUUACCAAGCCUGCGAUCUGUAGCUGGUCUGAGAGGACGAUCAGCCACACUGGGACUGAGACACGGCCCAGACUCCUACGGGAGGCAGCAGUGGGGAAUUUUGGACAAUGGGGGAAACCCUGAUCCAGCAAUGCCGCGUGCAGGAUGAAGGCCUUCGGGUUGUAAACUGCUUUUGUACGGAACGAAAAGUCCUGGGUUAAUACCCUGGGAUCAUGACGGUACCGUAAGAAUAAGCACCGGCUAACUACGUGCCAGCCGCCGCGGUAA